rnacentral:rRNA from 2 species
AGGGUUUGAUCCUGGCUCAGGAUGAACGCUAGCGGCAGGCCUAAUACAUGCAAGUCGAGGGGCAGCAGGAGUAGCAAUACUCGCUGGCGACCGGCGCACGGGUGCGUAACACGUAUACAAUCUGCCUUUAACAGGGGGAUAGCCCGGAGAAAUCCGGAUUAAUACCCCAUAACACAAGAAGUAGCAUUACUUUUUGUUGAAAGCUCCGGCGGUUAGAGAUGAGUAUGCGUCUGAUUAGCUAGUUGGUGAGGUAACGGCUCACCAAGGCGACGAUCAGUAGGGGAUCUGAGAGGACUACCCCCCACACGGAUACUGAGACACGGAUCCGACUCCUACGGGAGGCAGCAGUAAGGAAUAUUGGACAAUGCCCGCAAGGGUGAUCCAGCCAUGCCGCGUGCAGGAAGACGGCCCUAUGGGUUGUAAACUGCUUUUACACCGGAGAAAACCCCCUUACGUGUAAGGGGCUGAUAGUAUGGUGAGAAUAAGCAUCGGCUAACUUCGUGCCAGCAGCCGCGGUAAGACGAAGGAUGCAAGCGUUAUCCGGAUUCAUUGGGUUUAAAGGGAGCGUAGGUGGCCUUAUAAGUCAGUGGUGAAAUCUCUGGGCUUAACCCAGAAAUUGCCAUUGAUACUGUAGGGCUUGAGUAUAGAUGCCGUUGGCGGAAUAUGACAUGUAGUGGUGAAAUACAUAGAGAUGUCAUAGAACACCGAUUGCGAAGGCAGCUAACGAAACUAUAACUGACACUGAGGCUCGAAAGUGUGGGGAUCAAACAGGAUUAGAUACCCUGGUAGUCCACACUGUAAACGAUGAUUACUCGCUGCUAGAGGGCAACUUUUAGUGGCUUAGCGAAAGCGAUAAGUAAUCCACCUGGGGAGUACGCCCGGCAACGGUGAAACUCAAAGGAAUUGACGGGGGCCCGCACAAGCGGAG